rnacentral:rRNA from 1 species
AUGAACGCUGGCGGCGUGCCUAAUACAUGCAAGUCGAGCGCACAGACGAGGAGCUUGCUCCUCUGAUGUUAGCGGCGGACGGGUGAGUAACACGUGGAUAACCUACCUAUAAGACUGGGAUAACUUCGGGAAACCGGAGCUAAUACCGGAUAACAUGUUGAACCGCAUGGUUCAACAGUGAAAGACGGUUUUGCUGUCACUUAUAGAUGGAUCCGCGCCGCAUUAGCUAGUUGGUAAGGUAACGGCUUACCAAGGCAACGAUGCGUAGCCGACCUGAGAGGGUGAUCGGCCACACUGGAACUGAGACACGGUCCAGACUCCUACGGGAGGCAGCAGUAGGGAAUCUUCCGCAAUGGGCGAAAGCCUGACGGAGCAACGCCGCGUGAGUGAAGAAGGUCUUCGGAUCGUAAAACUCUGUUAUUAGGGAAGAACAAAUGUGUAAGUAACUAUGCACGUCUUGACGGUACCUAAUCAGAAAGCCACGGCUAACUACGUG